ACGGGAGGCAGCAGUGGGGAAUAUUGGGCAAUGGGCGAAAGCCUGACCCAGCAACGCCGCGUGAAGGAAGAAGGCCUUCGGGUUGUAAACUUCUUUUACCAGGGACGAAGGACGUGACGGUACCUGGAGAAAAAGCCACGGCUAACUACGUGCCAGCAGCCGCGGUAAUACGUAGGUGGCAAGCGUUGUCCGGAUUUACUGGGUGUAAAGGGCGUGUAGGCGGAACUGUAAGUCAGAUGUGAAAUCCCGGGGCUCAACCCCGGAACUGCAUUUGAAACUGCAGUCCUUGAGUAUCGGAGAGGCAAGCGGAAUUCCUAGUGUAGCGGUGAAAUGCGUAGAUAUUAGGAGGAACACCAGUGGCGAAGGCGGCCUACUGGGCUUUAACUGACGCUGAGGCUCGAAAGUGUGGGGAGCAAACAGGAUUAGAUACCCUGGUA
rnacentral:rRNA from 1 species